rnacentral:rRNA from 1 species
AUUGAACGCUGGCGGCAUGCCUUACACAUGCAAGUCGAACGGUAACGGGCCUUCGGGUGCCGACGAGUGGCGGACGGGUGAGUAAUGUAUCGGAACGUACCUUUCAGUGGGGGAUAACGUAGCGAAAGUUACGCUAAUACCGCAUAUUCUGUGAGCAGGAAAGCAGGGGAUCGCAAGACCUUGCGCUGAUUGAGCGGCCGAUAUCAGAUUAGCUAGUUGGUGAGGUAAAGGCUCACCAAGGCGACGAUCUGUAGCGGGUCUGAGAGGAUGAUCCGCCACACUGGAACUGAGACACGGUCCAGACUCCUACGGGAGGCAGCAGUGGGGAAUUUUGGACAAUGGGGGCAACCCUGAUCCAGCCAUGCCGCGUGAGUGAAGAAGGCCUUCGGGUUGUAAAGCUCUUUCGGCCGGGAAGAAAUCGUAUGGGUUAAUACCCUGUGCGGAUGACGGUACCGGCAUAAGAAGCACCGGCUAACUACGUG